rnacentral:lncRNA from 1 species
UUAUUCAAAUAACAUCAAUAUUUAAAUUGUCUUUAAUUUACAUGAAUAGUUAAACAGGAUCUUUUAGUUGAAUUAACAUUUGCUGUAACUUCAGUAGAAAUUCUUUUUGUUCCUUUGAAAAAUAUCUAUUGGUUAAAUAAAUGUAUCCAACUGUGAAAAUAAUGUGAUUAAAAACAUCUUAAUAUACAUUAAAGUUCAUUGGUUUUGAAUAAUUGGUUUUAAAUACAAAGCUAUUAGAAUCAGUAAAAAUGUCUACUUUAGAAUAAAAUUUUUUCAUUUCUAUACAGUUACUUUUGCUUAUGAUAGAAUGUUUUGGUAGUGAAAACAAUAUGAUUUGAUGACUGCUUCUAUUUUAGAAAAAUGAAAUGAAUAAGACUUAUGAAUGUAAUGGGUCAGCAAUUUAAAAUAAGUAUCCUAUAUGGUAAUAAUAUUCAAAUAACUGUUACUUUUUAGCUAGAGACAUGUAAAAUAUAAUAAUACGAUAGGGUUGUCUGGUAUUACAUAGAUAAUUUGAAAUGUUUUCAUGGGCUUCCUUCACUUGAUCUCCAGAGUAAAACUCCUGUCAGAAAACCAAGUGGUGAAAUGUAUUGCUAUUUUAAUGACUUAUCCUAGGUUUUAGGUCUAGAAUUAGGACCUAUUUGUGUUUUUCUUCUUCAUGUCUUUUUUACUGGUACUAGGUGAUGCUUAAAAUUUUUAUUGCACAGAAAUAUUUCAAUCUUUUUUUAUUUUUUAGUAAAGCAUUCAAAAACUCAGUCAAGUGAGUAAAUAUGAGCAGUUGGUCAGAUAUUUCACAUCAUCAUAAUACUUCAAUAGGCUGUACUUUUAGACUUAAAUUUAUUACAGAGCAGACUUUAGUUUCUUUGCCGAUAUACUUAGCAGAAAAUGACUUUAGGACCAUUUACAAAGCAUUGAAGUUCUCAAUUUAGAAAUUUAAUUAGGAUGAAUGUCUGUGGAUGUAAGAAUUAUAAAGCUAUAGUUAUAUUUGUUGUGUAUGCAUAUGCAGUGCUACACUUCAUUAGAUCCCACUAUAUCCUGUGCUUAUUUGCAAGUAGAGUGUCUGCAUUUAAAUAUAUAUAUCCUUCAAAAAACCUAUAUUAACUUUAGUAUUCUUAUAACCUAGAAAAUUGAUUCAGAGAUGUGUGUAGAAGAUAACCACUGGCUUAUCCUUUCAUUCAAAGUCACCUUCUGAAUUUUAGUCCAAUGCCCCUAGCACACACACCCCAACAUGUUUUUAGUCUUAGGGAGGCAUAAAAUCUGUCAAAGUCAUUGACCAUGAGACAAUGAAGUGAGAUGGACUUGGAAAUUAUAAAUAUUCCACCAGAAAAGGAAAAAGGAGCAAAACACAAAUGACUGUAAAAUGAUUGUACUAGCACUAAUUUAAUACAUGAAAAUAACCUAUAGUAAUAUAUUUCAUUUACCUAUACACUGUUACAUGGACUUAAUUUUGGCCAAGAUCAUAGGGCAGUUUUUUCCUAGGAUAUUUGUGUAGUUUUGAAAUCAAAUUAAUAAUAGUGUGCCACAGACAAUAAGUUUAUAAUGUCUAAGUGUAUCUACAUAGACAUAAUAAAUUUCUUAAUGUUUGAAAAUUGCUAAAAAUCUCUUUACACAAGUGAGUCAAUGUUAGAAUGCCUAACCAAAGCCUUUAAUUGCAUCUAUUUUUGAAAACUUAGGUCAUAUAAGUAUAAUUAAUGAUAAUUAAAAGGGAUAUUUAUUAUUUUGAGGAACAGUGUUUACUUCAGUUUAGUAAUAAAAAUAACCUUGCUUUUAGUUACUAAUGCUUUUCCUGGAUGGAAAAAAAACAAUGUAUAAUGUAAUAUAGAUGAUAUCUUCCUCUUAGGAUUGAAACCAGUAUAAGCUAAAGAUAAAAGAUCAGUCUGCAUAUUAAGAAGAAUAUUCAGAAAAGGAAGGAGCUAAGUUUUUAAAUUCACUAUAACGUUAAAUGAAAAGAGAACAAUUUUUAGGGAAUUGUAUAUUUUCGAAGUUAAAAAUCUACUUUUUAACAUACAGUAAAUUUGAUAUACUUGGGUUCUAUUAGAAAUGAGCAAUUUUCUAUAUCUUGCUACUUUUUGAGAGGUAAAUAAAGUGUUCUUUCUCCAAGUAAAUAAUUAAGCAGCAUCUACUAGACCAAACCUAACAUAUUUAUUAUUCAUGGCUUCAGUAGUAUCAAAAGUUAGAUUUUCUGAUAUUAAAAUAUUUUUGAUGAAUGUUUAGACCCAAAACUGGAUUGAAACAGAUGAAUUUCAACCACACAUAUGUCAUUACUCCUGAAGAAACAGUUAUUAACCUUGGAUAGUGACACAUUUGACAAAACAACCUGUGUAAGACAGUAUAAUCAGAGCUGGACAGGUUGGAUGUCUGCUGUAAUUCCUUGAGGUAACCAGAGCUGGUCCCCACUUGCAUUGACCAGAACACUAGAGCUACAGAGCUGAAGACUUUAUGAUAGGCUCACCAGCAUCAUAGGACACAGCUGAGUGAAAAGGGGGACAAUCAGCUCUGCUACAACAUUUUCUCAGUCUGACUUUGUGGCAAAACAAGGGCUAGUAACUGCUGUACUUCUUUGUGGAAAGAAAGCUAUCAUCCUGUACUGUUUAAUGGAAAAUAUUAAUUGAUCCAUGAAUUCUGUCUAAAUACAAUAGCAGGUCCCUCUCCUUUAGUCUUUUAUGAACAUUUUCUUUCUUUCUCUCUCUUUUUUUUUUUUGUCUUUUUUAGGGCCACACCCACUCAAUGUGGAGGUUUCCAGGCUAGGGGUUGAACUGAAGCUGUAGCUACCAGCCUACACCACAGCCACAGCAAUGCUGGAUACCUAACCCACUGAGUGAGGCCAGGAAUUGUAUCCGUGUCCUCAUGGAUGCCAGUCAGGUUCAUUAACUGCUGAGACACGACGGGAACUCCGAACAUUUUCACUUUCAAUUACUUUGUUUCAUUCCUCAUAUUCAUAGCAUGCUUAAAUUUCCCAUCAGUCUUUAAUGGAAAGUCUUUUUCAGGGACUAAAAGGUUUCCACAAGAGAUACUAAUGGUUUCACACUAGUCACCAACUUGAUUUUUUUCUGCUUCUCAGCUGUCUUUAGUUUUACAGUCCAGAGACCAUCUGUCUAGACAGGUGUUAUCUCACUGGUAUCUAAAAAUAGAAACUGAACAUCAUUAUUUUUGAAAUCUAUUUAGAAACUGCAACUCUAGUGAUAAUACAGUACUGGUGUAGACUGUGCAGUGUUACAGAUCUCUUCCUUAGAACAGAUGGGCUGCAAAAUGGCUUAUUUUGCAUGGACCAGCUGUGGACUUAAGUAGUGUAUAGGAACUGUGGGUGCCACUUAUAUUGCACAGAAAAAUCUAGAAAAUUAACAUAUAUGUAAUUAUAUAUUUUUGAUGUCUAUAUAAUAUCAAAAAUUAUUUGCAGUUCUUAAGAGUAAGUAAGGCAUUUAUGUAGUGGAUUUAUUCUUCAGAAAAUAUCCACUGUCUGCAAUACAGGGAAAACUAAUAUAGGCAUCAUCUCUCUAUACCUAGGUAUCAUUAUAAAAGCAAAUUUUGCUAAGUAAUAUUUUAAUAUUUUAUUACAUAUUUUAAAAUAAUAUUCUUAUUAAAAUAUAGUAUUUCAAGGCCUAUAUAUUUAUGGGCUUUGACUAUACUCGAUGACUUUUUGUCUAAAAGUUAUAGUUCACUUUGUUCCAAAUUCAAAGUGCCUGUAUAGUAAUUGCUAUCUGAAUAUUUCUUAUUGUUUACCAGUAAAAACUGCCUUAUGAACAUAAAUGAUUUAAAGAUACUGAUACAAAAGAAGAAUGUUUAAUUUGAUCAUGGAGUCAUACUCUCUCUCCACUGGGGUUCUUAGCAGACACACACACAAACACGCAAAAUUUGCACAGGAACUCACUGUCAUGGAGAUGCAGUAUGUACAGUGGGAUCCAUAGCUGCAACCCACUUUUGUAUUCAAUGCUCAGAUCCUCCAAUUCUUAGCUGUGCUACCUGGGAAGGUUAUUUAUCAUAUUGAUGCCUCCAUAUUUGUUGUUCUCCUAUGUAAAGUAGGGAUAAUGACAGUUUCUAUAUCAUAAGGCUUCCACGAAGAUAAAUUACAUGCUAUAUAUAAUUCAUUUAGGAACAAUCAGACAUAUAAUAAGUGGACAGUGAGCGUUAGUGGUUAUGGUUGCUUUUAUUAUUAUUGUGUUCUAAGUAAGUUGCUGUAUUUUAUCAUGUGUUUCCUGAUCUCAAAAUAUACUUUCCUGAAGGAAAAAUAGAUAUCAAAUUUGGACAGGUUACAUUUAAGCUGAAUUCUCUUAUUUCAUAGUUAGAUACCAUUUGCUUUACUAUCUUAGAAAUCUUAAAGAAUGCUUUUAUUAGAAAGGGUUAUUUGAGUUAAAUUAAACUGAAUGUUUGGAAAGGAAGGUGUAUACAUUAAUGACAAAGUAUUGUUUCUGAUCUAUAUGUGACCUGCAAACCUUUUGUUUAAAGAGAGGAAAUAACUUCUUUCCCUAACUAAACAUGUUUCUGGAUAUGAUUUGAAAGGCUUUUAUUUCACUUUUUCUCCUUUGUUUGUUUUUAUGCAAGCCCUGUUUCCAAGAAAAACUAUAGAUAAGAAACAGUGUAAAGCGAGUCCUUGAGUUAUAAGGGAGCCCAUGGUAAAAAAGCAAAUGGAUCACAUCAGUGCAGUGUUCCUGAACUUCUUGAUCUAACCUGAAGAUUAAACAAAUGACAAGCUGUUUUGAUCGAAGGUUUACAUAAAACUUAAAUACUAAAUAUAUUUGUAUUUUUGGCUUUAUUUACCCUUCAUCUAUAUCACAAAUUAUAUUUAACGUAAAAUAAAUCAUAUAGAGUUCCCAUUGUGGCUCAGCAGGUUUGAGAAGCUGACACAGUAUCCCUGAGGAUGCGGGUUUGAUCCCUGGCCUCGCUCAGUGGCUUAAGGAUCCAGGUUGCCACAUGCUGCGGUGUAGGUCGUAGAUCUACAUUGCUGUGGCAGUGGCUGUGGUGUAGGGUGGCAGAUGAGUCUCUGAUUCGACCCCUAGUCAGGGAACUUACGCACGCUGCUGAUGUAGCUAUAAAAAAUAAAAUAAAUCAUAAAUGUAAUAAUUGGAUAUAUUUUAUGAUAACAUUUAUUAUUUUUUUUCUGAUUGCUUAUUUUUAAGAUGUAACAUGAUCUUGGGGAAUGAAACAAUAAAAAGAAGAAAGUAAAAUCCAUCUCUUGGGCUCAAAUCUAAAUUAGGUGAGGGGGAAAAUGUAAAAUAGAUUAAAUAAAGAUGAUUUCUCCACAAUAUAUUGCAAAACCACUAUAAAAAUUAGUUUAAAUUCAACUUAAGCCAAGAAGAAAAUGAAACAAAAUCUUACCUACUUAUAAAUGUACUGCACAAGUGCAUAAAAUAUAAACAAAAUAACACAGUAAAUAAAAGAUAAAAUGUGCUUAGAGAACCAGAAAUGUAGAAUGGGCCCUUAUAUAAACUGAGUCAUGCUAGAAUGCACUAAAAUAUAUUUCUUAUACUACUUUUGAAAAGGAAAUAAAAAUUUAUAUGGAGCAUUUUUCUAUCGCUUCU